rnacentral:rRNA from 1 species
GACGAACGCUGGCGGCGUGCUUAACACAUGCAAGUCGAGCGGUAAGGCCCUUUCGGGGGUACACGAGCGGCGAACGGGUGAGUAACACGUGGGUGACCUGCCUUUAGCUCUGGGAUAAGCCUGGGAAACCGGGUCUAAUACCGGAUAUGACUCCGCGGCGCAUGUUGUGGGGUGGAAAGCCUUGUGCGGCUGGAGAUGGGCCCGCGGCCUAUCAGCUUGUUGGUGGGGUGAUGGCCUACCAAGGCGACGACGGGUAGCCGGCCUGAGAGGGCGACCGGCCACACUGGGACUGAGACACGGCCCAGACUCCUACGGGAGGCAGCAGUGGGGAAUCUUGCGCAAUGGGGCGAAAGCCUGACGCAGCGACGCCGCGUGAGGGAUGAC